CCUACGGGAGACAGCAGUGAGGAAUAUUGGUCAAUGGACGAGAGUCUGAACCAGCCAAGUAGCGUGAAGGAUGACUGCCCUAUGGGUUGUAAACUUCUUUUAUAUGGGAAUAAAAUGUUCCACGUGUGGGACUUUGAAUUUACCAUAUGAAUAAGGAUCGGCUAACUCCGUGCCAGCAGCCGCGGUAAUACGGAGGAUACGAGCGUUAUCCGGAUUUAUUGGGUUUAAAGGGAGCGUAGGUGGAUUGUUAAGUCAGUUGUGAAAGUUUGCGGCUCAACCGUAAAAUUGCAGUUGAAACUGGCAGUCUGGAGUACAGUAGAGGUGAGCGGAAUUCGUGGUGUAGCGGUGAAAUGCUUAGAUAUCACGAAGAACUCCGAUUGCGAAGGCAGCUCACUGGACUGCAACUGACACUGAGGCGCGAAAGUGUGGGUAUCAAACAGGAUUAGAUACCCCUGUAGUC
rnacentral:rRNA from 1 species